rnacentral:rRNA from 1 species
AGCGGCGGAUGGGUGAGUAACACGUGGGGAACCUGCCCCUAAGUCUGGGAUACCAUUUGGGAACAGGUGCUAAUACCGGAUAAUAAAGCAGAUCGCAUGAUCAGCCUUUGAAAGGCGGCGUAAGCUGUCGCUAAGGGAUGGCCCCGCGGUGCAUUAGCUAGUUGGUAAGGUAACGGCUUACCAAGGCGACGAUGCAUAGCCGAGUUGAGAGACUGAUCGGCCACAUUGGGACUGAGACACGGCCCAAACUCCUACGGGAGGCAGCAGUAGGGAAUCUUCCACAAUGGACGCAAGUCUGAUGGAGCAACGCCGCGUGAGUGAAGAAGGUUUUCGGAUCGUAAAGCUCUGUUGUUGGUGAAGAAGGAUAGAGGUAGUAACUGGCCUUUAUUUGACGGUAAUCAACCAGAAAGUCACGGCUAACUACGUGCCAGCAGCCGCGGUAAUACGUAGGUGGCAAGCGUUGUCCGGAUUUAUUGGGCGUAAAGCGAGCGCAGGCGGAAAAAUAAGUCUAAUGUGAAAGCCCUCGUCUUAACCGAGGAACUGCAUCGGAAACUGUUUUUCUUGAGUGCAGAAGAGGAGAGUGGAACUCCAUGUGUAGCGGUGGAAUGCGUAGAUAUAUGGAAGAACACCAGUGGCGAAAGGCGGCUCUCUGGUCUGCAACUGACGCUGAGGCUCGAAAGCAUGGUAGCGAACAGGAUUAGAUACCCUGGUAGUCCAUGCCGUAAACGAUGAGUGCUAAGUGU